AGUCUUUGCAACAAAUAUGCAGAGUUGAGAAAAAAACAAUUCUUAUAUUUGCGCAUUUAUGCAUAUUCUGCAUUUUGAGCGCCUCACCAAUUUCAGGAGAUGGCUAGCAUGUCUCAUCAUUGGUUGUCCGGAAUGGGGGUUGGUCAUUGUGUUGCUCCAAGUAGAGUCCUUUUAAUAAGCCCCAGACCUCUCCCUAAAUUGAAGGACUGUCUUCUUAAUAACAGCUUUUUCCAGAGAUGCUCUGUGAGACAUGGAGGGCUACUGUCUCUUGAGAGUUAAAGUGACCAAUCACCCAGAGAACAAAGAGGAGGCAUAUGGCAGCUACAAUCAAUGAAGAAUUAUGCAGGAGAAACAAUGGAAAGGAUGUCACCAGAGAAGUGCCUGAAUGGAACAGAGAGUGGUCUGGUCAUGGAGCAGGAGGAAGGGACAACAACUGGAUAGUCCAUGGGCUCUCCUGGCAUCCUCACAACAUCAAGAGCCCUAAAGGGUCCUAAAUUCAGAGCUGGAAGGAACUUCAGAGGCCAUCUAAACCAACUACCUCAUUGUACAGCUGAGGAAACUGAGGCCCAAGACUUUACUUGAGGUCCAUAAAGAGAACAUUCCUUUGGAGCUACUCCCACCUUAGAACCACAGAAUUUCAGCAUUGAAAGUUACUUCAGUGAAAUUGAAUUCCCAAUGAGCAGUGAUCUAGUGUUUGCUCGAAGAUCCUCAGAGAGGGGGAACCCACUGCCUAAGCAGGCAGCCCAUCCCACUUGGGAAUAGCUCUACCUGGUACAAAGGUUUUCCUGACAUCAAGCCUCAACUUACCUCUUCACAUUUUCAAACUCUGGCUGCUGGUUCUCCAUGUUGAAGCCAAGCAGAACAUGUCUUCCAGAUGACAGCCCUCCAGGUACUUGAAGAUGGCUAAUGUGACCCCCUGAGGUUUCUCUUCUCCAGUCUCCAUAUUCCCAGUUCUUUUAACCUAUGCUCAUAUGGUAUACUCUCAAGUUCCCUCACUAUCCUAAGAUAUCUUUCCCCCAUUGUUCUCCAGCUUACCAACCAAUCAAUCAACAACCUUUUAUUAAGCACCUACUAUGUGCCGGGCACUGUGCUAGGCACCACAAUACAAACAACAAAGCCAUUUCUACUUGCUACGAGCUUCCAUUCCAUCAUUAGAUUCCCUACGUGGCCCCUAGAACUAGACAUACUCCUGCAGGUGUGUUGUGAACAGGCAUACCUCUUCAUCAGCCUACCAGCCUACUAGCUUUUCUUGGACAGCAAAAACAUCUCUGCGAGUGUGAUGACUGCUUUUGUUUUGCCUUUGCAUCUCUGGAGUUUUGCGCAGAAUUUAUUGAACCAGACUUGUGGUUGCAUUGAUGUAAAAGGCUCACGCUGAGAGAUUUCUACCCAGGUAGAUUGGAACCUUUUCUCCAAGGUUCUCAAGAAGCUCUCUUCCAGCCUCAGGGAGAGUGACCCAGGCACUGGGAGAUUAAAUGAUUUGCCUAGACUCUCUUUUAGGAACAGGACAAGAACCUAGAUUUUCCUGCUUUAAGACCAGCUCUCUAUCAACUGAAUCCCAUUGCUUCCUUUGCAUAUAAUAUAGGCUCAAUAAAUAUCCAUUCCUCUGAGGUUACCUUCUAAUUAUGU